UCGACUUCAACUUCUGGUAUGCUUCCAAAGAUUCCAAACACCCUUUUAAUGCUAUGAACUACUGUUACACCUGCAGGUCUACUUUCAUCUGCAAACCAACGAAACCCCCAAUUCUAUUCCACACUCACAACUGCACCAAAACUAUUCUUCAUUCAAAUACCUUUUGUUCCAGAAAAUUUGUUAUUUAAUCUCAUCAUAAUUAAAGAAAGUUAUUCUUCAAUCAUCUCAUCAGAAAUGUGUAUUUCAAUUUUUUUUGGUAAUCUGAAGGUGACCAGCACAAUCCACCACGCCGUCUAAAGCUUAAUCCGAAGCUAACCAGACUUUAAAGAGAUUUUUAUGCAGAACCUGUGUUCAUUAGAAAAAUUUGUGAUUCGACAGUGUCAAGUAUCAUUUUGCAUCACUGAGCAGCUUCUCCAUAGCUUCAAAGGGUCGUUAGCCAUUUUUCUUUGAGAAAUAUGGCUUUGAAGAAUAAACUAACAGCAUUCAUUGACAUGGGUAUGGCAAUACCACUUGAAAAAUGUCGAUUUUGACGUUGAUUAUCAAUCGUAUAGUAUACGAGUUUGAUAGCUAUCCAAAGGGCUGGCAGAGAUUUCACUUUGAGAUAUGUUGCGGCGAAGAGUAAACUAACAGCAUUGAUUGACAUGGUUCUGUUCUCCAUUAUGGGCAUGCAGCUGCUCCAAAUGACCGGGCCCUUUACUCCCAAACAAGUUGGAGUAGGCUAGAAAGGAAACGCGAGGACUUCCCAAACAAGUUUGGGUAGGCUAGAAAGAUUGACUUCCCCAUCUUGGUACUGCUCUCGCCCUCUUUUGGUCUAUUGCUCGCUCGCCACGCCUAUCACGAUCCUAUUUUCAUAGGGAAUGGCUGUGGUUUUUACCAUUGGCUCGCCGCCAAACACGAACCCUCCUCCUUUAUCCUGGCUUGGGACAGGCUGUGCAGACAAGCUACACAGGCGGAGUUGUGUUACUAUUUCUUCAUUACUUAUAUAGGCAUUGACAUGUUUUUGGCUCAUAGACUUUCACUGUAGGGAUAAAAUUCAGAAUGUUUGAGAAACGGAGAAACCAUUUUUGCACAUGAAUAUCAUUUCGACUUUCCAGUUUCCACUACUUAUUUGUUUUCUUAAAGUGGAAUCUUAGAGUUUAUUUUUGAAGUUAGUGGGGCAUUCAAUUUCUGCAGACCUUUGAAGGCAGAGAUAUGGCAUUGUUGUCCAUUCAUUCACGUCAUCGUUCCAACAAUUUUGAAAUUUCUGCUGAAUAAAAAUCUACUUGUUUGUAAUUGUAGGUCAAUGGAAAAUUUACCAGUGAUCAACAGCUGGUUUACAAUUUUGUGCUUAAUGCUCAUGAUGAUGUCAUAUCCACAAUGAAACUUGGAGUAAACUGGGUGGACAUGCACAAAGAACUACUCUCGAGUCGCUAAAGGAUGGUGGCGUCCUUAUUGGUGAUGUUUAUGAAAUGAUGACUGAAAGAAUAGGUGCUGUUUUUAUGCCUCAUGGUCUUGGGCACUUAUCAGGCAUUGAGUCAUUGACACACAUGAUCCUGGUGGCUACCCUAAGGAAAUAGAGAGGCGGAGGCCAAAGGAACCAGAAUUAAAAUCUUUGCGUACAGCUAUGGAUCUCCAAAAAGAUUUUUUACUUAUGGUUCUACAUAUAUUGCCUCCAUGUCACGAGUCAUUAUUAUUGUUAUUGUCACUUUUUUAACUGCAGUACCCAGAAAGGUUACCAGUUCAGUCAUCUUGUUUGCGAUAUAUCUAGCUUAGACUUCCUUCCAUACCUAAACCAAUAGUUGACCUUAAAUAGUAUGUAAAAACACGGAACUUAUAGAGUCACUGAAGAUAUUUUACUUUGAAAAAAGAUAGACAUGCAGCAGAUUGACCAACACUUGGUAAUAUCAAUAAACAGGUAUCUUACGGUAGUCGGAGCAUAAAGUUAAGAGCUAAAAGCAAUGCUAGUGCUAAAUUAAACUAGAGAUUGGGGGCGUUCUGAAGGUUGGUGCCAUCCUCAUCGUUUUGGUUCUUUUGCUCCACCCAGGGGCCUGAUUGUAGAUGGAAGUCAGGUUCAAUGAUUUGUUGAUGGACGAGCAGCAUUUCUUUCAAUAGAUCAAGCCAUUGUGGAACCGAAGUCAGAGUCUGGUGGCUGUGCCCAGAACUGUAUUAAAGACAUCCUUUUAGUUCAGAAGAGACCUCUAGGCCUGUGUGAUCAUUGAAGCAAAAGCCAAAGGAGGAAUUUAGGUACUUUUCCCCUCCUACACCUGGGGAAAAGCACCUGAAUUCAUCAAGAGUCCCUAAUAAUUGAUAGGACAAUAGCACUGACAAUGUCUAAGGAUAAAUCCUUUUUUCCUUUUUUUCGUUUUACUGCUCCAUUUUGUCUCCUUGAUGGAGCUUUGGACUGUAGUCACUAUGCAGUCAUCACAAUGUGCACCACGCGCACCAAUUCUUCCAGGGUAUUCCCGUAUGGUGAAGUUCAAUAUCUUCAACUGCAGUUUGUUCCAGCACACUCCAACUGCAUUGCACAGGUUACUCUAUAGGUGUUAUAGCAAAUUUUAAACCAUGUAUGAGCGACAAUAUUAGAGCUGUUCUUUAGCUUAAUGUUGAAUGAUUUCUUGUGGAAUAAACUCAACUAAUCAACUAUCCUAGAGAGGCAGGUAAAUGAAUUAGCUGGACUUUGAAUGAUCAAGAAUGUCCAGUGCCAAAUUUACCGUGCAUCGAAUUCCCGAGACGCUUUUAAAUUGUUGUUUUGAUGUAAUAAAAAAGGAAAAUUCUUGGCUGCCUGUGAAACUAAA